AGUAACACUUUGUGUAAAAGAUUAAGCCAUGCACGUGUGAGAAUAACCGAAUUAAGGUGGGAAUCUGCGAAUGGCUCAUUAUAUCAGUUAUAGUUUACUUGAUACUCUCUCUCUACUUGGAUACCCGUAGUAAUUCUAGAGCUAAUACAUGCCAUGUCCGCGGCGAUCGCAAGAGAGCCGCGUGCUAACUAGAUUUAAACCAGCCCCGAAAGGGUCUCAUGGUGAUUCAUAGUUAUCGAACGAACCGCAUGCCUCACGGCGGCGGUGAUUCAAUCAAGUUUCUGCCCUAUCAGCUUUCGAUGGUAGUGUAUUGGACUACCAUGGCGAUAACGGGUAACGGGGAAUUAGGGUUCGAUUCCGGAGAGGGAGCCUGAGAAACGGCUACCACUUCUAAGGAAGGCAGCAGGCGCGUAAAUUACCCAAUCCUGAUUCAGGGAGGUAGUGACAAGAAAUAACAACCCGGGGACUUUGUCUUUCGGGAUUGCAAUGAGGACAAUCUAAUAGACCUUACCGAGGAACAAU
rnacentral:rRNA from 1 species